rnacentral:lncRNA from 1 species
UGCAUACAGUCACCUCAAGAUAGAUCUUUUUGCUGCUGCUCUUAUGGAUUUCAAUCUUCCUCAAAUCUUUUCAUUGAUUUCGGAACUUCUAUAUUCUUUGAGAUCAACAACGUCAUUUUGAGGAGCUAGACUAGGAACCCAAAUUUAAGCCCCUCAAAAUGAUGUCGUUUUGAUCCAUUUUUCAUGCUUCUAUUAUAGAUUAAGACUGG